GAUCUUCGGACCGGUCACUAUUGGAGGAGCCUGCGUAGGAUUAGCUUGUUGGUGAGGUAAAGGCUCACCAAGGCUACGAUCCUUAGCUGGUCUGAGAGGACGAUCAGCCACACUGGAACUGAGACACGGUCCAGACUCCUACGGGAGGCAGCAGUAGGGAAUAUUGUGCAAUGGGCGAAAGCCUGACACAGCCAUGCCGCGUGUGUGAAGAAGGCCCUAGGGUUGUAAAGCACUUUCAGUAGGGAGGAAUUAGUAGGGUUAAUAACUCUGCGAAAUGACGUUACCUACAGAAGAAGCACCGGCGAACUCCGUGCCAGCCGCCGGGGUAAU
rnacentral:rRNA from 1 species